UUUUUAAAAAGUUUACCAGCUAUGUGUCCAUACUUAGAUCCAAUACUUGAAUAUUUUCCAAGUGUAUCUGCCAUACUCAUAUGUCAGUUACAUGAACUGUUACAGUUAAUACAGAUUUCCACUCAGUUACUUCUGGGAACAACUAAACUGUUGGCGUUUUGUUGGAUUUUUCUUUAGGCUGUAUCAAGAAAGUGAUGAGGUCUGGACCCUGGAAGACAAUGCUCAUUGUCACUCCAGCUGUGACUGUUCUCCUCUGUAUGGAGUAGGGACAUACUCUGGAUACAAGCAUCUCUAAGGCCAAGCAGGAGUGAGGUGGUAAGAUUAUUCAGGUGAGCAGUAGAGGAGCAGAGUCAGUCCCGGAAAUGUCAUUCAGAGAACUGUUAAAGGAGAAAUACAUACUUGAAUUAAGCUUUUCAUUUUCAAAAGGUGCAGCUGGUACUAAAACCUAAGAAAUGACAUAGCCCUGGCCACAGUUAUGAUGCUGCAGGACACCAGUAAGCAUUUGUAGGUACCAGGUCCUUUGGUGUGGUAAACGUACAAAAGCCAAGCUGAAUUUUUCUGUUAAGAGACUAAUUUACACAGAAAUAGCAUCAAGUUGCAAGAUUAACACAAUGGGCUCACCCAGCAAUGUAUUUGUACCCAUGGUCUUUUCUCUUUCUAUGAUUACCUGUAAUCAAAUUGCACAUCACUUCUUUACUCUGACCUGGCUUCAGUUGCCACUCCUAAGUCAUUGAACUCUCCAAUACUACUGUCCUGAAGUCCUUGCACCCCUGGUAUCCACUUUCAGCACUUUGAAUGCCCUCUGUGCUAAUGAUGAGUUUUACAUCAUUGAA